AUAGUACUCCCUUCGUUCCAAAAUUAUUGUCUUAGAUUUGUCUAGAUAUAAAUGUAUCUAGUCAUGUUUUAAUAUUUAGAUACAUUCAUUUCUAGACAAAUCUAAAACAAAUUUUUUGAAACGGAGGGAAUAGUAU
rnacentral:pre_miRNA from 1 species